GAAAGCAGUAUGAGGGAAAACCUCACGUACGGUUUGAUGAGGAGGGGGUGGUUGAAUCCAGCCCUUUACUCUAGU
rnacentral:ncRNA from 1 species